GACGAACGCUGGCGGCGUGCUUAACACAUGCAAGUCGAACGGAAAGGCCUCUUUCGGGGGGUACUCGAGUGGCGAACGGGCGAGUAACACGUGAGUAACCUGCCCUUGACUUUGGGAUAACUUCAGGAAACUGGGGCUAAUACCGGAUAGGAGCUCCUGCUGCAUGGUGGGGGUGGGAAAGUUUCGGCGGUUGGGGAUGGACUCGCGGCUUAUCAGCUUGUUGGUGGGGUAGUGGCUUACCAAGGCUUUGACGGGUAGCCGGCCUGAGAGGGUGACCGGCCACAUUGGGACUGAGAGACGGCCCAGACACCUACGGGAGGCAGCAAGGGGGAAUAUUGCACAAUGGGUGGAAGACUGAUGCAGCAACGCCGUGUGCGGGAUGACGGCCUUCGGGUUGUAAACCGCUUUCGCUCAUGACGAAGCUUUGUGUGACGGUAGUGGGUAAAGAAGCACCGGCUAACUACGUG
rnacentral:rRNA from 1 species